rnacentral:rRNA from 1 species
UACGGGGGGGGCAAGCGUUGUUCGGAAUUACUGGGCGUAAAGGGCUCGUAGGUGGCCAACUAAGUCAGACGUGAAAUCCCUCGGCUUAACCGGGGAACUGCGUCUGAUACUGGAUGGCUUGAGAUUGGGAGAGGGAUGCGGAAUUCCAGGUGUAGCGGUGAAAUGCGUAGAUAUCUGGAGGAACACCGGUGGCGAAGGCGGCAUCCUGGACCAACGCUGACACUGAGGAGCGAAAGCCAGGGGAGCAAACGGG